CUUACUUCUCUGUGCUGUGGAGAGAUCGCAGGUAGGUGGUCAGAUGGCUGUGGAGAGAUCGCAGGUAGGUGGUCAGAUGGCUGUGGAGAGAUCGCAGGUAGGUGGUCAGAUGGCUGUGGAGAGAUCGCAGGUAGGUGGUCAGAUGGCUGUGGAGAGAUCGCAGGUAGGUGGUCAGAUGGCUGUGGAGAGAUCGCAGGUAGGUGGUCAGAUGGCUGUGGAGAGAUCGCAGGUAGGUGGUCAGAUGGCUGUGGAGAGAUCACAGGUAGGUGGUCAGAUGGCUG